GCUGAAUGUGGGGAUAAUUUAUCUCCGUGUUGAAGCUAACGCGUUAAGCACUCCGCCUGGGGACUACGGUCGCAAGACUAAAACUCAAAGGAAUUGACGGGGACCCGCACAAGCGGUGGAGCAUGUGGUUUAAUUCGAUGCAACGCGAAAAACCUUACCACUCCUUGACAUGGAGAUUAGAUCCUUCUUAACGGAAGGGCGCAGUUCGGCUGGGUCUCGCACAGGUGCUGCAUGGCUGUCGUCAGCUCGUGUCGUGAGAUGUUGGGUUAAGUCCCGCAACGAGCGUAACCCUCAUCCUUAGUUGCCAGCGGGUAAUGCCGGGUACUUUAAGGAAACUGCCGGUGGUAAACCGGAGGAAGGUGGGGAUGAUGUCAAGUCAGCACGGCCCUUAUGGGGUGGGCUACACACGUGCUACAAUGGUGACUACAAUAGGUUGCAACGCUGCAAGGCUGAGCUAAUCCAUAAAAGUCAUCUCAGUUCGGAUUGUCCUCUGUAACUCGAGGGCAUGAAGUCGGAAUCGCUAGUAAUCGUGGAUCAGCAUGCCACGGUGAAUACGUUCUCGGGUCUUGUACACACUGCCCGUCACGCCAUGGGAAUUGGCUUAACUCGAAGCUGGUGCGCUAACCGAAAGGAAGCAGCCAU
rnacentral:rRNA from 1 species